UUUUAUUUGUUGUCAGGACAGAGUGGUAACUUCUAAGCUUCUUUCAUGUAGAGCAAAAACCUGAGAUCUAUAGGGAUUUUGUGAAUGUUUUCAGAUAAGUCAAGCAAAUACCUAAGAGCACAAGUGCUGGAUUGUAUGGAGACUGAAGCCCUGAAUUAACUUUUCCCAGAGAGUGUCAGAAGAGUGGAAAAGUACAAUACAAUAAGGAGGGCAGAUUCUUUACCACUGAGCCACAUGGGAAGCCCGAGGCUGUUUCUAUAGGAGAUUAACAUUUGAAUCAGAAGAUUAGUAAAGAAGAUUGUCCUCAUUAAGGUAGGUUCUAAAUUGAGAAAGGAGUAGCCAAGCCUGUAUAUUUUCACCCUGCUUAUUUAACUUAUAUGCAG
ensembl:lncRNA